rnacentral:lncRNA from 1 species
UAAAAUAUUGACAUUUUAAAUAAAUAGUGAAACUAUUGCUAAGGAGUCUCAUUAAAAGCUAAAAUAUUGCUAUUUUGAAAAUUAAAGCUCUGUGUAGGGUCAGCUGAAGGCCCAAGCCACUCAAACAUAGGAUUUAGUCCUUUUACAUUUUUUUUAAAUUAAAUGAGGGCACAAAGGCCCAUUUAUUGAAUAAUAAGAAAAUAAAAAAGACAUCCGGUCC